GUGGGGAAUAUUGGACAAUGGGGGGAACCCUGAUCCAGCCAUGCCGCGUGUGUGAAGAAGGCCUUUUGGUUGUAAAGCACUUUAAGCGAGGAGGAGGCUACCGAGAUUAAUACUCUUGGAUAGUGGACGUUACUCGCAGAAUAAGCACCGGCUAACUCUGUGCCAGCAGCCGCGGUAAUACAGAGGGUGCAAGCGUUAAUCGGAUUUACUGGGCGUAAAGCGCGCGUAGGUGGCUAAUUAAGUCAAAUGUGAAAUCCCCGAGCUUAACUUGGGAAUUGCGUUCGAUACUGGUUGGCUAGAGUAUGGGAGAGGAUGGUAGAAUUCCAGGUGUAGCGGUGAAAUGCGUAGAGAUCUGGAGGAAUACCGAUGGCGAAGGCAGCCAUCUGGCCUAAUACUGACACUGAGGUGCGAAAGCAUGGGGAGCAAACAGGAUUAGAAACCCGAGUAGUCC
rnacentral:rRNA from 1 species